AUUGAACGCUGGCGGCAGGCCUAACACAUGCAAGUCGAGCGGAUGAAGGGAGCUUGCUCCUGGAUUCAGCGGCGGACGGGUGAGUAAUGCCUAGGAAUCUGCCUGGUAGUGGGGGAUAACGUCCGGAAACGGGCGCUAAUACCGCAUACGUCCUGAGGGAGAAAGUGGGGGAUCUUCGGACCUCACGCUAUCAGAUGAGCCUAGGUCGGAUUAGCUAGUUGGUGGGGUAAAGGCCUACCAAGGCGACGAUCCGUAACUCGUCUGAGAGGAUGAUCAGUCACACUGGAACUGAGACACGGUCCAGACUCCUACGGGAGGCAGCAGUGGGGAAUAUUGGACAAUGGGCGAAAGCCUGAUCCAGCCAUGCCGCGUGUGUGAAGAAGGUCUUCGGAUUGUAAAGCACUUUAAGUUGGGAGGAAGGGCAGUAAGUUAAUACCUUGCUGUUUUGACGUUACCAACAGAAUAAGCACCGGCUAACUUCGUG
rnacentral:rRNA from 1 species